UACAGAGGUGGCAAGCGUUGUUCGGAAUUACUGGGCGUAAAGGGCGCGUAGGCGGUCUUUUAAGUUCGGUGUGAAAUCCCUCGGCUCAACUGGGGAACGGCACGGGAAACUGGGAGGCUUGAGUUCGGGAGAGGGAAGCGGAAUUCCGGGUGUAGCGGUGAAAUGCGUAGAUAUCCGGAGGAACACCGGUGGCGAAGGCGGCUUCCUGGACCGACACUGACGCUGAGGCGCGAAAGCUUGGGGAGCAAACGGG
rnacentral:rRNA from 1 species